GGCCGCGGGAAUUCUAUUACUCCUACGGGAGGCAGCAGCAAGGAAUUUUCGGCAAUGGGGGCAACCCUGACCGAGCAACGCCGCGUGGAGGAUGACGGCCUUCGGGUUGUAAACUCCCUUUCGGGGGGACGACCCAGACGGUACCCCCGGAAUCAGCCUCGGCUAACUCUGUGCCGGCAGCCGCGGUAAGACAGAGGAGGCAAGCGUUGUCCGGACUUACUGGGCGUAAAGCGCACGCAGGUGGUGCGGCAAGUGCGGUGUGAAAGCGCACGGCUUAACCGUGCGAGGCCAUCGCAAACUGCCGGACUUGAGCCGUGCAGAGGCCAGUGGAAUUGCCGGUGUAGUGGUGAAAUGCGUAGAGAUCGGCAGGAACACCCAAGGGGAAGCCAGCUGGCUGGGCACGAGCUGACACUCAGGUGCGACAGCGUGGGGAGCAAACCGGAUUAGAUACCCGGGUAGUCCACGCCGUAAACGCUGGACACUCGCCCUGUGGGCCCUAGCCAUGGGCGUGCGGGGCCAAGCUAACGCGCGAAGUGUCCCGCCUGGGAACUACGAGCGCAAGCUUAAAACUCAAAGGAAUUGACGGAAUCACUAGUGAAUUC
rnacentral:rRNA from 1 species